CCUUGCUUCUAGGUUUCGUCUCCAGAUUUCCCCCCCUUAAAGUUGCUUUUUCAGCUUAGAUGUCUCAUUUUUGGCACAUCAGACUGGAUGCACACACACACACGCACACACACACACACACACAGAUCAAUAUUUUAGGGAUAAGAGGUCAUUUGCCAUGGCGAACUCGGGAGGAAACAAGAAAAGAAAGCAGUUAAAGGUUUCCAGCUUGUACUGGUAUAAAGCACAACUCAGAGUUAAAAGACUGGGGUGUGUGCAGGUGACGUUAAUUCGAACAUUCAAUCACAUAUAAGGGGUAUUGAACCCAGUGGGAGAGAGCAGUGAUAGCCCCGUAUCUUUCCGCUCUUUGGAGGGAGCCGCAGGCGGGAGGAGAAGAGCGGACAGACUAAGCUAGAAGCACACGGCGGCGUCAGGAACAAGUUACCGUUAUCCUGCGAAAAACGAAACCCCUCCUUUUCAGAAUCAACAACAACAAAGGUUUGUCCUAAGGCACGCAGGAGAGAAAGUAACGUUCAAGAAGAAAGCUGGGUCGGCAAGUUUGGCUCCCGAGCGUGUGAAGUAUGAAUCACCACGGUGCAAAGCUGAUAGUGUGGCUGGUUGGGAUCAAUUAGCACUGGAUUUUGCCCCAGGAUUGCUCCCCAGGGCGGACAAAUGGAGCCAACUCAUCUCCAGCGACUUUUUUUUUUUUUUUAACCUAUGUGCGUAUCCACGCCAGGGCUUCCGAAGCAGUUCAAAAUCCCCAGCCUUGGUUUCACUUGAUUUUGUUGUUGUUGUUAUUGAUAAAUAUUGGGUCAUACACAAGCCACUUGUCAGAGCCUUUGGCAAUGUCUCGCAGCUGCACUCCUAG
rnacentral:lncRNA from 1 species